CCUACGGGUGGCAGCAGUGAGGAAUAUUGGUCAAUGGGCGCAAGCCUGAACCAGCCAAGUAGCGUGAAGGAUGACGGCCCUACGGGUUGUAAACUUCUUUUAUACGGGAAUAAAGUGACUUACGUGUUCGGCUUUGCAUGUACCGUAUGAAUAAGGACCGGCUAACUCCGUGCCAGCAGCCGCGGUAAUACGGAGGGUCCGGGCGUUAUCCGGAUUUAUUGGGUUUAAAGGGAGCGUAGGUGGGUUGUUAAGUCAGUUGUGAAAUUUUCGGGCUCAACCGGGGACUUGCAGUGCAUACUGGCAUGCUUGAGUGCGGGGGAGGUAGGCGGAAUUCGUGGUGUAGCGGUGAAAUGCUUAGAUAUCACGAAGAACCCCGAUUGCGAAGGCAGCUUGCUG
rnacentral:rRNA from 1 species